rnacentral:rRNA from 1 species
CCCUUCGGGGUGGAUUAGUGGCGAACGGGUGAGUAACACGUGGGCAAUCUGCCCUUCACUCUGGGACAAGCCCUGGAAACGGGGUCUAAUACCGGAUAACACUCCUCAGAGCAUUUUGAGGGGUUAAAAGCUCCGGCGGUGAAGGAUGAGCCCGCGGCCUAUCAGCUUGUUGGUGGGGUAAUGGCCUACCAAGGCGACGACGGGUAGCCGGCCUGAGAGGGCGACCGGCCACACUGGGACUGAGACACGGCCCAGACUCCUACGGGAGGCAGCAGUGGGGAAUAUUGCACAAUGGGCGAAAGCCUGAUGCAGCGACGCCGCGUGAGGGAUGACGGCCUUCGGGUUGUAAACCUCUUUCAGCAGGGAAGAAGCGAAAGUGACGGUACCUGCAGAAGAAGCGCCGGCUAACUACGUGCCAGCAGCCGCGGUAAUACGUAGGGCGCAAGCGUUGUCCGGAAUUAUUGGGCGUAAAGAGCUCGUAGGCGGCUUGUCACGUCGGAUGUGAAAGCCCGGGGCUUAACCCCGGGUCUGCAUUCGAUACGGGCUAGCUAGAGUGUGGUAGGGGAGAUCGGAAUUCCUGGUGUAGCGGUGAAAUGCGCAGAUAUCAGGAGGAACACCGGUGGCGAANGCGGAUCUCUGGGCC